GGCAUCCUGGUGCUUACCACAGGCCAUGUUCUUACAUUGACUGUAUAGAAAAAGAAAGCAGAGAAAAUCUACUCUAUAUACACCUCAGUCCAUUCUUGUGAAUGGGGGGAAAUGG
rnacentral:snoRNA from 1 species